AAAAAUCUAUUUGUUCAAGGAUGAAAGACAUACAUGAAGUUUAAUCUUUUCAAAUUCACCAGACUUAAAAAUUCCUGAUACACACAUAUUAAGAUUUUUUUUAAAAUAACCAUGUUUUUCAAAUAAAAUACGAAAAUAAUCAAGUUUUCAAAAAAAAUUCCAAAAUAACCAUGUUUGUGAGAGAAUGCGUCGGGGGAGUUGGC
rnacentral:lncRNA from 1 species